GUUUUUCCUUUUCAUGUCAAAAAAGGGAUAUACGAUUUUUUUUAAAUGCUUUGAUUUUCGUUUUAUAUUUAGAAUAACAAGAAAGUAAAAUCAGUAAGAGACAGAAACGAAAAAAGGUCCGAUUUUUCAUUUUCUGAGACCGGAAGUGGUCAUCAGCAAGUGUGGAGCCAAACGACAACAAGAUUCUCGGAGGGCGGAGCCAGAGAGCAGUGAUUGGUCAGACCAUAGAUAAUAUAGAAGACAGCGCGCUAGCGUAUCUAGUCUAUGUGUAUCUAUGGUCGGCACGUCUGGUAGCAUCUCUGGCUGCUGUUGAUCUUGUUUUUGGAGUAAAACACGGUGGAAGCUGAAUUAGUGAGGAUGACUCCUGCUCCUGUCAUCUCUAAGCUCCUCACACAUCUUUACCUGCACAUGAGGAAAAUCACUCCUGUAGAAUGCAGAACCUCUGGGGAUGUCCUGUGGAUUCUGUGGAUCCUGUGGGUUGCAGGGUGGGUCCUACCUAGACCAGGCUGAUCCUGGACCAUCCCACAGAUGCUCCAUCAGAUCUGGAUGUGGGGAGUGUGGAACCCAGAUGUUCAGAUGGAGAUGAUGCCACAUCUGGUCCAGCUGAUGGAAGGUCUUGAAGUUCUCUGACUGGCCUCGACUGAAGAUGGUCGUCUCACUGGAUUUAAGGUUCAGAUGCUCAGUAACAAACUCCACCAAUGAGCCAACAGGGAAGCUUUAGGUUUAUUAAAUGUUGCUAUGAAGGUUUCGCUGUUUUUCUUUGUGAAUGCAAUGUGCUCCAACUGAAACUUGAAUUAGAACUUAGAAGUAAAUCCUUCCAUCUGAAAGGAUUUAGUUGCAUUAAUAACCUCAUAACAUUCUAAUUUUUAUUCCAGUCUUGGUUGGAAAUAGAAUCUCUGUAUUGAUUCAGGUAAAAACUGAACUUCACAGCAUGUUGGAGCAAAACAACCAGAUGAAAACUGUGAUGGUGUUGGAUUGUCAGACCGUAAUGUUGCAGCUCAAAGCAGCUUUUCUAGCUCAGUUCAUUCUGACAUUCAGCUAUGAAUCAACACAGCAGAUGGUGAUCCAUGCUGUGGAAGUCUCACAUCUCCCGAUUUAAUGGAGCUGCUUUGCACUUUUUAUUCACCAACACUUUAUUUAAUAAAAGUCCCAUCUAGUUUUUAUGAGGAAUGUGAUGUUUUAAUUUCUCUGUGAAUAACUGCAGUCUAAUGCAACAGCUGGAGUUGUAACAUCUGUCCUGAUAUUGAUCAUGAAGUAUUGAUCAGAAUACUUAUGGUUAGCAGUCAUCCCUGAAGUUUUACAUUAAAAUCUUUACUUGUGUUGUGAACUUUGGUAAGAAGCAGAAACUUUUGCGUUGCCAUGGAUACAUGAGUGUUAAAUUCUGUCCAUGUUUCCAUUUUGGGAAAUGCAGUCCAGUUCCAGAAUGUGGAGGAAUUUAGUCUCACAAUCACAGACAACAAAUAUUAUCUGAAAGUUGGGUUAUUGUUGUUUAUCAGCACAAUACAAAGAUUGUUAGAAAUAUUCCAGUUAAGACUCUAGAAUAUCAUGAUUUAUGUAAAUUUACCUCAGUAAUAUGAAUGUUCAGGUUAAGAUUGUACAGUGAUAUUUAUUAUGUAAGUUUAGCUGAUUAAAGUUUAUGACUCUGCACUAAAAUAUUAUUUAAAUUGACAUCAUUAUUAUAAUAUUUAGGGUCAGACCCUACAGUAUUGAGAUUAAGAAAUCAAAUAUUCUAUAAAAUGUAAAUACACUGAACUCAUUUGGAUAUAUUUAAGUGAGACUCUACAAUAUUAUUUGACACAAAUCUGUCUAAAUCAAGAUUUUAAUAAUUUUCAUGCCAAACAUUUACUGGACUGAUUUAAAUAUUAAAAUCACUCCUUUCUAAUCCUCUGCUGUACGUUCAAACUUGAGGCCUUAAAUAGAAGCACACAAGUAUCUGUUUGAAGGAACUUCUGCAGAGUCCUGGUUCUAGAACAUGAUGAUAGAAUUAUAGACAAACUUUAACAAAAGCUGCCUGAGAGUUUACAGGUUUUUAUGUUGGAUUUCUUCAGUAAUUUAAUGAGUUAUCAGCAAUAAUCAAGUGUUUAUUUGAUGAACUUCAUUUCCUAAAACAUCCAGAAUUGGAGCUCAUAUCUUUGGCAGCUGUAAAGUUUCUGCUCCUUCAAAGUUCACAACACAAUGAAUGAAUUCCUAAAACACUCUCAAUGCUGGAGAGCGUUUGUGAUGCUGAAGCAGUGACCAGUUUUUCUGUUUCUUCUCUGGAGAUGCACAAUGAGGGACGUCUGCAGCGACUGAGAAAGAGUCUCACCACAUCCUGACAUGAGGAAAAAGACUUUAUUGAAGACUACAAUGAGAAAAACUAUCAGACAGCAGACGGCUGCAUUCAAGACAUGACCGUGAACACCGUUGACACCCACCUGAGGGAGACGCUGCCUAAGAUCUCAAGGCUGCUUGGUCGUGGUCUUUCUGGUCCUGCUCCAGAACGCCUUCAUCAACUACAUCUUCUUUUGAAGAGGCCCUCAGAUGCUGUAAUCUCUGACCUUCAGGAGGAAUUGCUACUUUCACUCUGUAACGAGACGGCGGUUAUUUUAAAGACCUUUAAAGAUCCUGCAGAUGUUGGAGC
ensembl:lncRNA